GGGGUGCAGCAGGCGCGAAACCUCCGCAAUGUGAGAAAUCGCGACGGGGGGAUCCCAAGUGCCAUUCUUAACGGGAUGGCUUUUCAUUAGUGUAAAGAGCUUUUGGAAUAAGAGCUGGGCAAGACCGGUGCCAGCCGCCGCGGUAACACCGGCAGCUCUAGUGGUAACAAUUUUUAUUGGGCCUAAAGCGUCCGUAGCCGGUUUAAUAAGUCUCUGGUGAAAUCCUGUAGCUUAACUGUGGGAAUUGCUGGAGAUACUAUUAGACUUGAGACCGGGAGAGGUUAGAGGUACUCCCAGGGUAGAGGUGAAAUUCUGUAAUCCUGGGAGGACCGCCUGUUGCGAAGGCGUCUAACUGGAACGGUUCUGACGGUGAGGGACGAAAGUUAGGGGCGCGAACCGGAUUAGAUACCCGGGUAGUCCUAACUGUAAACGAUGCGGACUUGGUGUUGGGGUGGCUUUGAGCUGCUCCGGUGCCGAAGGGAAGCUGUUAAGUCCGCCGCCUGGGAAGUACGGUCGCAAGACUGAAACUUAA
rnacentral:rRNA from 1 species